UUUCACUUCAAGGUCUCUAUUCUUAGCUUGCUGGUUAGCUGAGCAAGCCGCCUUCCUCAGUAGUCAUGAGUUCAAGGACCGUAGGGUAAAGACUCAACCCUAAGCCAUGCAGGGGUUCUGCCUGUGCUCCAUGGCAGCUUUGAAGGGACAGUUUGGGCGGAGCCCGACUCGGCAGCCUCAGCCUCGCGUGCUCCAAAAGAGAGCCGCAUGGAUGUGAGGAUGAACUGAGAGUUGCUGGAGCUGGGACAUAACUCCGGAGGAGGCAGACGGCUCCAGAGCCGGGAUGACUCAGUACGUGAGGCUCUGUUCAGUGGCGUAUUGCAUCUGCCCCAUCUAGGAGCAGCCUUGUCAGAGAGCAGCCUUAUCAGAUGCCUCUUACUGCUGCCCUGAUGGUCAGAUGCGUGCAUGCGUGGCAGGAGUGAAGCAGAAGUGAAUGUGGGAUGCGGAGCGGCGGCUUCCCGGGAGCGGAACUGGCUGGAUGUUCUCGGGGUGUUGCACCCAGGCCGGAGGUGCCUGCUGCCCUGGUGAUGUUCAGCCCAUCCUGAUGUGUGCUGCGGAUCCUGCCCAUGAUCCCAGGUUUUGGCUCUGUGGUUGGGAUGCACUGCGCUCCUGCAAACCAGAGGUAUUGGUAUUCCUAACCUGGCUUCCAAGUUUGUCUCAUGCCACACCAAAGGCUGUGUGUUGAGACCAAGAACAGGAUUUGGUGACUUUGGUGCUGUAAGGCAUUGAGGACACGCUUGCAAGACAGAAGUCCAUCCUUUCUGGUGGGCCAAGCAUCGAGAGGUGAAGAUGAUCUAUUCUCUGCAUGAUAGCAUGGGCAAACCUUGCUGUUGACUCGAUAACAAGAACAGGGGGAUUAAGGCAGACCUUGGCUCCUGAAUGCAAGUGAUCUUGGCUCUUGGACUCUGCAGAAGGUCCAGGGGCUGCUCAGAGCUGGGCUCGUAGCUCUUGUGGAGUGUACUGGGGUGUAUGGUGGAUCCUGAGUUGUCAGCAAGGUCUUCUCCUGCCUUGCUGGUGACUCCCCUAGGGCUCCCUGGAGCCGGGUUUGCUCUUACGGCCCAGGCACUUGCUCCACAGGCUGAGGCAGUUUGGGGCCAAAUCCAUGGAGCUUCUGCAUGGAGGGCUCCUGAAGGGUGCCCUCAGCUUCCUGC
rnacentral:lncRNA from 1 species